AGAGUUUGAUUAUGGCUCAGGACGAACGCUGGCGGCGCGCCUAAUGCAUGCAAGUCGAGCGAGGCUCCACCCUUCGGGGUGGAUGUCCUAGCGGCAAACGGCUGAGUAACGCGUGGGUGAUCUACCCCAGAGAGGGGAAUAACCCGCCGAAAGGCGGACUAAUUCCGCAUACGCUCCACCGUGUAAAGGCGAUGGUGGAAAGGGUUCCGGGCAACCGGCGCCGCUCUGGGAGGAGCUCGCGUCCUAUCAGGUUGUUGGUGGGGUAACGGCCUACCAAAUGCCAAAGACGGGUAGCUGGUGUGAGAGCACGACCAGCCAGAGGGGGACUGAGACACGGCCCCCACUCCUACGGGAGGCAGCAGCAGGGAAUCUUGCACAAUGGGCGAAAGCCUGAUGCAGCGACGCCGCGUGAGGGACGAAGGCUCUAGGGUUGUAAACCUCUUUUCUCAGGGAAGAGCAAGGACGGUACCUGAGGAAUAAGCCACGGCUAACUACGUGCCAGCAGCCGCGGUAAUACGUAGGUGGCGAGCGUUGUCCGGAAUUAUUGGGCGUAAAGGGUCCGUAGGCUGUUUAGUAAGUCUCCUGUGAAAACUCCAGGCUCAACUUGGAGCGGUCGGGGGAUACUGCAGGACUUGAGGCUGUCAGAGGAAAGCGGAAUUCCCGGUGUAGUGGUGAAAUGCGUAGAUAUCGGGAGGAACAUCAGUGGCGAAAGCGGCUUUCUGGGACAGUUCUGACGCUGAGGGACGAAAGCGUGGGGAGCAAACCGGAUUAGAUACCCGGGUAGUCCACGCCCUAAACGAUGGAUGCUAGGUUUGUGGGGUAUCGACCCCCUGCGAGCCAAAGCUAACGCGAUAAGCAUCCCGCCUGGGGACUACGGCCGCAAGGCUAAAACUCAAAGGAAUUGACGGGGGCCCGCACAAGCAGCGGAGCGUGUGGUUUAAUUCGAUGGUAAGCGAAGAACCUUACCUGGGCUUGACAUGCAAGUGGUACUAAACCGAAAGGCAAGGGACCCGCAA
rnacentral:rRNA from 1 species